rnacentral:rRNA from 1 species
GUCCUUAGUUACCAGCACGUUAUGGUGGGCACUCUAAGGAGACUGCCGGUGGACAAACCGGAGGGAAGGUGGGGAUGACGUCAAGUCAUCAUGGCCCUUACGGCCUGGGCUACACACGUGCUACAAUGGUCGGUACAAAGGGUUGCCAAGCCGCGAGGUGGAGCUAAUCCCAUAAAACCGAUUGUAGUCCGGAUCGCAGUCUGCAACUCGACUGCGUGAAGUCGGAAUCGCUAGUAAUCGUGAAUCAGAAUGUCACGGUGAAUACGUUCCCGGGCCUU